rnacentral:rRNA from 1 species
AUGUACAUUCUUACAACAUAGCUUUAAUCCAUUGGAUCCCAUUAGAAAUCCAUAGUUAAGCAUGCUCGGGCUAGAGUAGUACUGGGAUGGGUGACCACCCGAGAAUUUUUAGUAUUUUAUAUG